rnacentral:tRNA from 1 species
GGGGAUUUAGCUCAGUGGUAGAGCGCUUGCCUAGCAAGCGCAAGGCCCUGGGUUCGGUCCCCAGCUCUGGGGGGAAAAAAAAACUGGCUGCUCUUCCAGAGGACCCAGGUUCAAUUCCUAGCGUCCACA